UAUGUGAUCGUCUCUCGCAUAUCAAUAAGCGGAGGAAAAGAGACUAACAAGGAUUCCCCUAGUAACGGCGAGUGAAGCGGGAAGAGCUCAAAUUUGAAAUCUUAAAGGGUUUCCCUUUACGAAUUGUAGUUUAAAGAAGUGUUUUCUGUUGAGGUUUUGGUAAAAGUUCUUUGGAAUAGGACAUCAUAGAGGGUGAGAAUCCCGUAUUUGACCUUUACUUUCAACUUUGUGAUACACUUUCAAAGAGUCGGAUUGUUUGGGAAUGCAGUCCAAAAUGGGUGGUAAAUUUCAUCUAAAGCUAAAUAUUGGCGAGAGACCGAUAGCGAACAAGUACCGUGAGGGAAAGAUGAAAAGAACUUUGAAAAGAGAGUUAAACAGUACGUGAAAUUGUCAAAAGGGAAGCGUUUGACACCAGUGUUGUUUUUCUGAAAAUCAAUUAAAGAACUGUUUAUGCUAAGUUGUUUAGACUUUAUCAGCUAACUGUUUAGUUUUGAGCUUUUCUUUAAUGCACUUUUCAGUUAACAAGUCAACAUCAAUUUCUUUUGCUGUAAAAAAGCUUGAGGAAGGUGGCUUGAGAUUCGUCUUAAGUGUUUAUAGCCUCUUGCCUAUGCAGUCGGAGAGAUUGAGGUCUGCAGCGUAGAUCCUUCGGGGCUAAAUGCAUUUGUGCUAAGUUAUAACAUUUUAUAGACAACUUGUUGACUAUGAUUUGUCUUGUAGCUUACUCGCUUAUGUUAUUUUACCUACGCUUAGGAUGUUGAAGACUCUACAGAGAU
rnacentral:rRNA from 1 species